AAGGCUAAAUACUCUCUAAUGACCGAUAGUGAACAAGUACCGUGAGGGAAAGGUGAAAAGAACCCCGGGAGGGGAGUGAAAUAGAGAAUCUGAAACCAUAUGCUUACAAAAAGUUCGAGCCCAUUAACGGGUGAGAGCGUGCCUUUUGCAGAAUGAGCCGGCGAGUUAUGGUAUUGUGCAAGGUUAAGUGGAAAACACGGAGCCGAAGCGAAAGCAAGUCUUAAUAGGGCGAUUUAGUACAAUGCUGUAGACCCGAAACCGAGUGAUCUAGCCAUGAGCAGGUUGAAGUUGGGGUAAUACCCAAUGGAGGACCGAACCAGGGUACUAUGUAACGUGCUUGGAUGACUUGUGGCUAGCGGUGAAAUUCCAAUCGAACUCGGAUAUAGCUGGUUCUCCCCGAAAUAGGUUUAGGCCUAGCCUUGAAUUAUUUCAUCCUGGAGGUAGAGCACUGAAUGUGGAAUGGCCGCGUCUAGCGGUACUGACUGCAAUCAACCUCCGAAUGCCAGGAAUUGUAGAUUCAGGAGUCAGUGUAUGAGGUGAUAACGUCCAUACGCGAGAGGAAAACAAUCCAGACCAUCAACUAAGGUCCCUAAAUAUAUGUUAAGUGGGAAAGGAUGUGGAGACGCACGAACAGCUAGGAGGUUGGCUUAGAAGCAGCCAUCCUUUAAAGAGUGCGUAAUAGCUCACUAGUCGAGUAUCUCUGCGCCGAAAAUGUACCGGGGCUAAACAUAUUACCGAAGUUAUGGAUUUAUAAUUUAUUAUAAAUGGUAGGGGAGCGUUCUAAGGGCGCUGAAGGUAGAUCGUGAGGACUACUGGAGCGCUUAGAAGUGAGAAUGCCGGUGUGAGUAACGUAAGGUAGGUGAGAAUCCUACCCACUAUUUGACCAAGGUUUCCAGGGUCAAGUUCGUCUUCCCUGGGUUAGUCGGGACCUAAGGCGAGGCUGAAAAGCGUAGUCGAUGGACAACAGGUUUAUAUUCCUGUACUGCUUAUAGGACUGAUGGAGUGACGGAGAAAGCUAGAAAGAGCCAGUUAUUGGAUUCUGGUCUAAGCGUUUAGGUUGAUGCACAGGAAAAUCCGUGAUAUCGAUAAGACUGAAGCGUGAUGGCGACGUGGUCUACGGACCGCUAAGUCUUUUGAAGCUAUGCUUCCAAGAAAAACUUCUAAAGAUAUGUUAUAAGUACCCGUACCUAGAACCAACACAGGUGGUCAAGGAGAGAAUCCUAAGGUGAGCGAGAGAACUAUGGUUAAGGAACUCGGCAAAAUUACCCCGUAACUUCGGAAUAAGGGGAGGUUUCUUCGGAAACCCGCAGUGAAUAGGUCCAGGCAACUGUUUACCAAAAACACAGGUCUCUGCUAAAGCGUAAGCUGAUGUAUAGGGGCUGACGCCUGCCCAGUGCUGGAAGGUUAAGAUGAUUUGUUAGGUGGACGAAAGUCGAUAACACCGAAGCUUUGAUUUGAAGCCCCAGUGAACGGCGGCGAUAACUAUAAUCGUCCAAAGGUAGCGAAAUUCCUUGUCAGGUAAGUUCUGACCCGCACGAAAGGCGUAAUGAUCUGGACGCUGUCUCAACCAUAGACUCGGUGAAAUCUUAAUACCUGUGAAAAUGCAGGUUACCCGCGACAGGACGGAAAGACCCCAUGGAGCUUUACUGUAGCUUGAUAUUGAAGUUAGGUAAUUUAUGUAGAGGAUAGGUGGUAGACUAUGAUGUAUGGACGCCAGUUCAUACGGAGUCGCCCUUGGAAUACCACCCUUAAAUUAUUUGACCUCUAACUUACUCCCGUUAUCCGGGAGGAGGACAGUGUCUGGUGGGCAGUUUGACUGGGGCGGUCGCCUCCCAAAGAGUAACGGAGGCGCUCAAAGGUUCCCUCAGAUUGGUCGGAAAUCAAUCAAAGAGUGUAAUGGUAUAAGGGAGCUUGACUGCGAGACCUACAAGUCGAGCAGGUGCGAAAGCAGGACAUAGUGAUCUGGCGGUAGAAUAUGGAAUUGCCGUCGCUUAACGGAUAAAAGUUACCCUGGGGAUAACAGGCUGAUAGCGCCCAAUAGUUCACAUAGACGGCGCUGAUUGGCACCUCGAUGUCGGCUCGUCACAUCCUGGAGGUGGAUUCGCUUCCAAGGGUUGGGCUGUUCGCCCAUUAAAGUGGCACGCGAGCUGGGUUCAGAACGUCGUGAGACAGUUCGGUCCCUAUCCGUCGUGGGCGUAGGAAAAUUGA
rnacentral:rRNA from 1 species